rnacentral:rRNA from 1 species
UACGUAGGGUGCAAGCGUUAAUCGGAAUUACUGGGCGUAAAGCGUGCGCAGGCGGCUUUGCAAGACAGAUGUGAAAUCCCCGGGCUCAACCUGGGAACUGCAUUUGAUACUGGAUAGCUAGAGUUCGGCAGAGGGAAGUGGAAUUUCUGGUGUAGCGGUGAAAUGCGUAGAUAUCAGAAGGAACAUCAGUGGCGAAAGCGACUUCCUGGACCAGAACUGACGAUCAGGCACGAAAGCGUGGGGAGCAAGCAGG